ACCCAAAUGGUCAAGUGGUCAAGACGCCUUGGAAUUAUAGAUAUAAAGUAUCGACAUCUUUCAAGGAGGCGGGGGUUCAAAUCCUCCUUUGGCUG